AAACUUUCAACAACGGAUCUCUUGGUUCUGGCAUCGAUGAAGAACGCGGCGAAAUGCGAUAAGUAAUGUGAAUUGCAGAAUUCAGUGAAUCAUCGAAUCUUUGAACGCACAUUGCGCCCGCCGGUAUUCCGGCGGGCAUGCCUGUUCGAGCGUCAUUUC
rnacentral:rRNA from 1 species